AUCUUUGUAAUUUUUUGGUUGAUUGUUGAGGCAGUUGAAGUAAGACUAGCAGGUCUUGGUCGUCGAAUUAAACAAGGAAGCUAGGAUUGAAGAAUAAUAAAGAAUGGCGUGAGAAAUUAGUUGUGCAUAUGGUUAUGUUAUGGUACCCUAAUUCAAGGAAGUUCUACCGCCUGGUGGUUGACAUUACAUUACUGAGAUGUUUGUAUUAUAAGUGAAGUUAUCCCCCUUUUUACUUUAUUUGUUGAGUUUGGUGAAGGAAUGUGAGUGGGGCGAUAAACAAGAAACCAACAAAUAUUAUCUUUUUCAUUGGACCAAACCUCAUGUGUCAGUAAUUGUAAUAAUCUGGAUGCAAUCUAAAAGCCAAACUAGUAAUCAUUUCGAAUCAGCACUUGAUUUGCCAUUGAUAUGGAGAGUCUUGAAGCAGCCAGAAAGUGCUUGACAACUAGUUUGGAAACAUCAAGUGCCAUUUCCUCUGCACUAGAUGAAUCUGGAUCAAGGUUGGAGCUACUUAACCAGAGAUAUCUGUCCUUACAAGCUUCCCUUAGACCCAUCUCAAAGCAGAAGUGCUCAUUUGUCAACAUUGACCACGGUAUAGACAGUGUUCUAUGUUCUGCUGCUGCACUCCUCAAAGUUUCUGACUCUGUUCAUCAGUUGGAGCAUUCUCUCUUAACAGACCCCUCUUCUGAUCUUUACACCUAUGUGUCAGACACAAAGAAGCUUGAGGAAGCACUGAAGCUUCUCACUGAUAAUUGCAGGUUAACAGUUGGCUGGUUGAAGGACGUUUUUGAGUUCUUACAGGACAAACCAAUCACCAAUGAGCUUUACCUGUUGAAUGUGAAGAAAUCUUUGAGAAUAUUGCAAGAAUUGCAGGUCAAGGAGGAAAGUGCUCGCCUUGAUGGAGGCCUUCUUAGCACUGCUUUUGACAAACUAGAACUUGAGUUCCAGAGGCUUCUCAUAGCAAACUCCAUGCCUCUUCCUUUGGUUUCAUUGACAUCACACAUUGGCCAGCAAGCCAGUAUUGCCAGACAAGCUUUGCCAUUGACAAGUUCUUUAGCAGGGAAGUUGCAUGCCAUCACUGAGAGAUUACAUGCUAAUGGCAGGCUAGACAAGUGUCAAUCUAUCUAUGUUGAAGUUCGAGGUAUGAAUGCUCGUCGAAGCUUGAAUACUUUAGAUUUGAGUUACCUUGAGAUUCCAACAGCUGAAUUUGAGGCUGUACAGUGUAUGGAGAGCUACAUAGACCAAUGGGGCUGCCAUUUGGAGUUGGUUGUGAAGCAACUGCUCGAGACUGAGUGCAGGCUCUCGGCUAUUGUCUUUGAGAAAAUCGGUCCAGAAGCAUGGAUGGGGUGUUUUGCAAAGAUUGCCAUGGAAUCAGGAAUUCUUUCUUUUAUUCGAUUUGGAAAGAUUAUCACCGAUAGGAAAAAUGAUCCCCUCAAGUUGUUGAACCUGCUGUCCAUAUUCAAGGUCUUAAAUGGUCUGAGGCUAAAAUUCAACCAGCUUUUCAGUGUGAAAGCUUGUAAAGAAAUUAGAACUGUGACUGAGGAUCUUAUAAAAAAAGUAGUCAAUGGCACCAGUGAGAUAUUCUGGCAACUUCCAGCGCAAGUGAAGUUGCAAAGACCAACUUCUCCUCCCCCUGAUGGCAGCAUUCCCAAGCUGGUAAGCUUUGUAACUGAUUACUGCAAUCAGCUGCUUGGGGAUGACUAUAGGCCACAUUUGACACAGGUUUUGGGAAUACAUCUUAGCUGGAGAAAGGAAGCGUACGAAGAGGGUAUUGUUUUAUGCCAAAUAUAUAAUGCAAUUAAGGAGGUUGCAGUAAAUUUGGAUACGUGGUCAAAGGCCUAUGAAGAUAUCACAUUGUCCUACCUUUUUAUGAUGAAUAAUCACUGUCAUUUCUGCAAUUUGAGGGGUACUGUGCUUGGAAAUAUGAUGGGAGAUUCUUGGUUAAGAGCACACGAGCAAUAUAAGGACUAUUAUGCAGCACUUUAUUUGAGGAACAGCUGGGGAAAGCUUCUAUCUAUUCUUGUAGUUCCAAGGGACAUACUUUCACCCUCCAGUGUAAGUGUGACAAGCCAAGACUUGGCAAAGAGACUAAAUGCCUUCAAUCUAGCUUUUGAUGAAAGGUACAAGAAGCAAUCUAAUUGGGUAAUAUCCGAUGAGAUCUUGAGGGAAAAUGUAUGCAAGCAUUUGGUGGAAGGUAUUAUACCAAUUUACAGGGCCUAUGUCAAGAAUUAUUGUUUGUCAAUAGAAAAUGAUGCUAAGGUUGACAAGCAUAUGAAAUAUAGGGCGCAGAGUUUGGAGAACAAGAUUAGGUCUAUGUUUCAGCCGAAGCAGAGGAAGGCUAGUAGCAUUAAACAGGCAGACUUGAUUAGUAAAAUAAAACAAGUCAGUCAUCAGUUUCGCUUGACUCUAGCUGCUCUAUAAUGCUUGGCAGGAUGAAACUUAAUGUGUGAGUGUAGAAAAAUACAGAUCAUUUACAAGUGUUACUUACAUGUUAUCACAUUAGUUAUUUUUAAUAAAAAUGACUCCGACUUUGAUAUUUAUUAUCUUUUUCAACAAAAGAAAAGACUUAUCGUGAAUAAAUGCCUCUCAAGGAAAAUUAUAUACAAGUUUCUUUCUAUUCUCUUCUGAUGUAUACUUCUCUGGGGAAAGGAAUGCGGACGUCAAACACGCCUUCGAAGAAGCAUUUCUUCACCUAAAAGCAACUUAAGAAGUAAUAAUAUGUCGUUUUUCUUGCAUAGCUAAACGACACCUCGUUUUGCUACGUUUUUAUUUAUCCACUCCAGACGAGACGCAGCGUUUUGACUCUGUUAUCAAGUGAUGGCGAUGAUGGCGGCGACGACACUCACACUGACACCACCGAGAUGGUCGUGGCGUCCAACUCGUCGUUCCUUUUGCCGGCAAAUGCAUCCAGGGCUGAGAGGUUUGGGAAUGUACAGAAAUGGUGGGAGCAUUGAAUUGAAUGUUUCUGCCUGGGAUGAUAAGCCCUUUGAAAUGCUUCCGAGCGGUAACAAGGCUUACUUGGAUGAGCAGGAUGUGGUGACGUUUCUUGAUCCUCCUAAGGACUUAAUCCCUUUCGACCCAUCUUCCUAUAAUCCCGCUGCAUACCUAUGG